GCUUUUGAAAGAUAAUAGCU
rnacentral:tRNA from 1 species